GAUGAACGCUGGCGGCGUGCUUAACACAUGCAAGUCGAACGGAAAGGCUCCUGCUUGCAGGGGUUCUCGAUUGGCGAACGGGUGAGUAACACGUGGGUGAUCUGCCCUGCACUUCGGGAUAUGCCUGGGAAACUGGGUCUAAUACAGGGUAGGACGUUGGUUUGGAUGCGAUUGUGGAGAGUUUUUCGGUGUUGGUUGAGCUCGUGGGCUAUCAGCUGCUUAGUUGGGUAAUGGGCGACCAAGGCGUCGACCGGUCGCCCGCCUUAGAGGGUGUACGGGCACAAUAGUACUGAGGGACGGAGCAGACGGCUACCGGCGGCAAGAGGGGAGAAUAUGGCACAAUGGGCGCAAGCCUGAUGCAGCGACGCUGCGUGGGGGAUGACGGCCUUCUGGUUGUAAACUCCUUUCGAUAGGGACGAAGCGCACGUGACGGUACCUGGAGAAGAAGCACCGGCUAACUACGUG
rnacentral:rRNA from 1 species